rnacentral:rRNA from 1 species
AGAGUUUGAUCAUGGCUCAGGAUGAACGCUGGCGGCGUGCUUAAUACAUGCAAGUCGAACGAAUGGAUGUCUAGCUUGCUAGACUGAAGUUAGUGGCGAACGGGUGAGUAAUACAUAGGCAAUCUGCCCUGAAGUGUGGGAUAGCUAUUGGAAACGAUAAUUAAUACCGCAUAGGUAGCAGGAAGGCAUCUUCCUACUAUUAAAGAUGCGUCUGCAUCGCUGCAGGAUGAGCUUAUGGUGUAUUAGCUAGUUGGUGAGAUAAAAGCCCACCAAGGCUAUGAUACAUAGCUGGUCUGAGAGGAUGAACAGCCACAUUGGGACUGAGACACGGCCCAGACUCCUACGGGAGGCAGCAGUAAGGAAUUUUCGGCAAUGGGGGCAACCCUGACCGAGCAACGCCGCGUGAGUGAUGAAGGUCUUCGGAUCGUAAAACUCUGUUGUAAAGGAAGAAUGUCAUAUAUAGGAAAUGACAUAUGAGUGACGGUACUUUACUAGAAAGUCACGGCUUACUACGUGCCAGCAGCCGCGGUAAUACGUAGGUGGCAAGCGUUAUCCGGAUUUAUUGGGCGUAAAGGGUGCGCAGGCGGUCUGUUAAGUUUGGUGUGAAAGCGUGGGGCUCAACCCCAUACAGCAUCGAAUACUGGCAGACUAGAGUGCAGAAGAGGGUAAUGGAACUCCAUGUGUAGCGGUAAAAUGCGUAGAUAUAUGGAAGAACACCAGCGGCGAAGGCGGUUACCUGGUCUGUAACUGACGCUCAGGCACGAAAGCGUGGGGAGCAAAUAGGAUUAGAUACCCUAGUAGUCCACGCCCUAAACGAUGAGUACUAGAUGUUGGAAUUUUCAGUGUCACAGCUAACGCAAUAAGUACUCCGCCUGAGGAGUAUGCACGCAAGUGUAAAACUUAAAGGAAUUGACGGGGCCCCGCACAAGCGGUGGAGUAUGUGGUUUAAUUCGACGCAACGCGAAGAACCUUACCAGGCCUUGACAUCCCCUGCAAAACCAUAGAGAUAUGGCAGAGGUUAUCAGGGCGACAGGUGGUGCAUGGUUGUCGUCAGCUCGUGUCGUGAGAUGUUGGGUUAAGUCCCGCAACGAGCGCAACCCUUGUCUUUAGUUACCAUCAUUAAGUUGGGGACUCUAGAGAGACUGCCGGUGACAAACCGGAGGAAGGUGGGGAUGACGUCAAAUCAUCAUGCCCUUUAUGGCCUGGGCUACACACGUACUACAAUGGCGUAUACAGCAAGAUGCAAUACCGUAAGGUGGAGCAAAACUUAUAAAAUACGUCUCAGUUCGGAUUGAGGUCUGCAACUCGACCUCAUGAAGUUGGAAUCGCUAGUAAUCGCGAAUCAGCAUGUCGCGGUGAAUACGUUCUCGGGGCUUGUACACACCGCCCGUCAAACCAUGAGAGUUGGUAAUACCCGAAGCCGGUGGCUUAAGGACUUGUCCAGGGAGCUGUCUAAGGUAGGACCGAUGAUUGGGGUUAAGUCGUAACAAGGCAUCCCUACGAGAACGUGGGGUUGGAUCACCUCCUU